AUACGUAGGGAGCGAGCGUUAUCCGGAUUUAUUGGGUGUAAAGGGUGCGUAGGCGGUUUGUCAGGUCUAAGGUUUAAUCCCGAAGCUUAACUUCGGUUCGCCUUAGAAACCGAUUAACUAGAGUAUGGUAGAGGCAAGUGGAAUUUCUAGUGUAGCGGUAAAAUGCGUAGAUAUUAGAAGGAACACCAGUGGCGAAGGCGGCUUGCUGGGCAAUUACUGACGCUGAGGCACAAAAGCGUGGGGAGCAAAUAGGAUUAGAUCCCCUAGUAGUCCACGCCGUAAACGAUGGAUACUAAGUGUCGGGCAACCGGUGCUGAAGUUAACACAUUAAGUAUCCCACCUGAGUAGUACGGUCGCAAGGCUGAAACUUAAAGGAAUUGGCGGGG
rnacentral:rRNA from 1 species